GUUCCUAUUGGUCUAGUUCUUAUCGGUCUAGUUCCUUUUGGUCUAGUUCCUAUUGGUCUAGUUCUUAUCGGUCUAGUUCCUUUUGGUCUAGUUCCUUUUGGUCUAGUUCUUAUCGGUCUAGUUCGUAUUGGUCUAGUUCCUAUUGGACCACUUCCUAUUGGUCUAGUUCCUAUUGGUCUAGUUCCUAUUGUUCUAAUUCCUAUUGGUCUAGUUCCUAUUGUCCUAGUUCCUAUUGGUCUGUAAUAGAGUUCCUAUAGGUAUAUUAUAUGUAUAUUAUAGGUCUAUUAUAGGUCUAGUUCUUAUAUGUCUAUUAUAGGUCUAGUUCUUAUAUGUCUAUUAUAGGUCUAUUAUAGGGUCUAGUUCCUAUAGGUCUAUUAUAGGUCUAGUUCCUAUAGGUCUAUUAUAGGUCUAUUAUAGGUCUAUUAUAGGUCUAGUUCCUAUAGGUCUAUUAUAGGUCUAUUAUAGGUCUAUUAUAGGUCUAGUUCCUAUAGGUCUAUUAUAGGUCUAGUUCCUAUAGGUCUAUUAUAGGUCUAGUUCCUAUAGGUCUAUUAUAGGUCUAGUUCCUAUAGGUCUAUUAUAGGUCUAGUUCCUAUAGGUCUAUUAUAGGUCUAGUUCCUAUAGGUCUAUUAUAGGUCUAGUUCCUAUAGGUCUAUUAUAGGUCUAGUUCCUAUAGGUCUAUUAUAGGUCUAUUAUAGGUCUAGUUCCUAUAGGUCUAUUAUAGGUCUAGUUCCUAUAGGUCUAUUAUAGGUCUAGUUCCUAUAGGUCUAUUAUAGGUCUAUUAUAGGUCUAUUAUAGGGUCUAGUUCCUAUAGGUCUAUUAUAGGUCUAGUUCCUAUAGGUCUAUUAUAGGUCUAUUAUAGGUCUAUUAUAGGUCUAUUAUAGGUCUAGUUCCUAUAGGUCUAUUAUAGGUCUAUUAUAGGUCUAUUAUAGGUCUAUUAUAGGUCUAGUUCCUAUAGGUCUAUUAUAGGUCUAGUUCCUAUAGGUCUAUUAUAGGUCUAUUAUAGGUCUAGUUCCUAUAGGUCUAUUAUAGGUCUAGUUCCUAUAGGUCUAUUAUAGGUCUAUUAUAGGUCUAUUAUAGGUCUAGUUCCUAUAGGUCUAUUAUAGGUCUAGUUCCUAUAGGUCUAUUAUAGGUCUAGUUCCUAUAGGUCUAGUUCCUAUAGGUCUAUUAUAGGUCUAGUUCCUAUAGGUCUAUUAUAGGUCUAGUUCCUAUAGGUCUAUUAUAGGUCUAGUUCCUAUAGGUCUAUUAUAGGUCUAGUUCCUAUAGGUCUAUUAUAGGUCUAGUUCCUAUAGGUCUAUUAUAGGUCUAGUUCCUAUAGGUCUAUUAUAGGUCUAUUAUAGGUCUAGUUCCUAUAGGUCUAGUUCCUAUAGGUCUAUUAUAGGUCUAUUAUAGGUCUAGUUCCUAUAGGUCUAGUUCCUAUAGGUCUAUUAUAGGUCUAUUAUAGGUCUAGUUCCUAUAGGUCUAGUUCCUAUAGGUCUAUUAUAGGUCUAUUAUAGGUCUAGUUCCUAUAGUUCCUAUUUGUCUCUUUCCUCCGAUGACGUAUAUCUCUCCGCUGAGGGCUGCUGAGGUGUGGUUAGUCCGGGGCCGGAGCAUGGGAGCCACCGUCACCCACCGUCC